AACGCUGGCGGCAUGCCUUACACAUGCAAGUCGAACGGCAGCAUGGAGGAGCUUGCUCCUCUGGAUGGCGAGUGGCGAACGGGUGAGUAAAGCAUCGGAACGUACCGUGUAGUGGGGGAUAACGUAGCGAAAGUUACGCUAAUACCGCAUACGCACUGAGGUGGAAAGCAGGGGAUCGCAAGACCUUGCGCUAUACGAGCGGCCGAUGUCAGAUUAGCUAGUUGGUAGGGUAAAGGCCUACCAAGGCGACGAUCUGUAGCGGGUCUGAGAGGAUGAUCCGCCACACUGGGACUGAGACACGGCCCAGACUCCUACGGGAGGCAGCAGUGGGGAAUUUUGGACAAUGGGGGAAACCCUGAUCCAGCCAUGCCGCGUGAGUGAAGAAGGCCUUCGGGUUGUAAAGCUCUUUCGGCUGGGAAGAAAUCGCACAGGCUAAUACUCUGUGUGGAUGACGGUACCAGCAUAAGAAGCACCGGCUAACUACGUG
rnacentral:rRNA from 1 species